GGCAAAUUUAAACAUUCUCUUAUUUGCUGGUCUUAUUUGACUAACAAACAUGAAGCUUGAUCAACAGUUCGCAGUAUGCAGUGGAGAAAAGCCUCAUCUUACCUCAUCUGCCACAAUCUCACUUCCAAGAAGUGAUGACCGCAGGAAGAGGCGCUGCCUUUUUACCUGCCUGUCGUCAUUGUGAGCACACAAUCAGUCCACAGGGUCCAGGUUACCGUCUCCAUCUGUUGACAUACGGAAACCAAGGCAACCAAGCCAGCCUCCUGGCUUUCCUUACCCCAAAAUUCCGAGCAGAGACUCCCCGGGACAGAAUCUGUUGUUGGUGCACAACCUCUCCCAGAAAGAACUUGGUGUCCUUAGGGACAAGUUCUUGGGCAGAUCAUUGCAGUAGAGUACUGUUUUAUUGUGAAAACUUGAGGCUGGACUCCAAUUAAUAACCAGAAACUACAGGAGAAAAUAAGAGUGAAGUCGUGUAUACUGAGAAAUACGAGACGCUUUCUGCAGAAACAAAGGAUGUACAUGCAAUGAUGCACUCAGACAAACUCUCAGAAAGCUGAGAUGAAUCUAGGAAUAUCAAGAUUUGUAAGUAUGUUUCCUGUUUUGCUGCAGUGUUUAAGGACAAAAUGACAGUUUACAAGGCAAUGUUUCCCCAGAAAAAUAUUGCCUUUUCUGGGGGGAAAAAAAGUGCCUCACAGCUCUUGCUGCUCCCUGGUAAAUUGAACGCAGCCAGGUGCAGGCUGAAGCACUUGCAGUGGUCCUGAUGACUGCUGAAUCUGAUCUUUUGCUGGGAUUUAUGAAAAGUCUCUCCCAGCUGUAAUUUCUUGACUUGGAC
rnacentral:lncRNA from 1 species